GUAAUAUAUCGGAACGUACCUUAUCGUGGGGGAUAACGCAGCGAAAGCUGCGCUAAUACCGCAUACGCCCUGAGGGGGAAAGCGGGGGACCGUAAGGCCUCGCGCGAUUAGAGCGGCCGAUAUCUGAUUAGCUUGUUGGUGGGGUAAAAGCCCACCAAGGCGACGAUCAGUAGCUGGUCUGAGAGGACGAUCAGCCACACUGGGACUGAGACACGGCCCAGACUCCUACGGGAGGCAGCAGUGGGGAAUUUUGGACAAUGGGGGCAACCCUGAUCCAGCAAUGCCGCGUGAGUGAAGAAGGCCUUCGGGUUGUAAAGCUCUUUUGUCAGGGAAGAAACAGCAGCUCUAACACAGUCUGCGAAUGACGGUACCUGAAGAAUAAGCACCGGCUAACUACGUGCCAGCAGCCGCGGUAAUACGUAGGGUGCAAGCGUUAAUCGGAAUUACUGGGCGUAAAGCGUGCGCAGGCGGUUAUACAAGACAGGCGUGAAAUCCCCGGGCUUAACCUGGGAAUGGCGUCUGUGACUGUAUGACUAGAGUGUGUCAGAGGGGGGUAGAAUUCCACGUGUAGCAGUGAAAUGCGUAGAUAUGUGGAGGAAUACCAAUGGCGAAGGCAGCCCCCUGGGAUAACACUGACGCUCAUGCA
rnacentral:rRNA from 1 species